rnacentral:rRNA from 1 species
UUCCGGUUGAUCCUGCCGGAGGUUACUGCUAUCGGUGUUCGACUAAGCCAUGCAAGUCAUAUGUUCCUCGUGAACAUGGCAUACUGCUCAGUAACACGUGGAUAACCUGCCCUUGGGUCUGGGAUAACCCCGGGAAACUGGGGAUAAUAUCGGAUAACGCAUAUGUGCUGGAAUGCUUUAUGCGUAAAACGGAUUCGUCCGCCCAAGGAUGGGUCUGCGGCCUAUCAGGUAGUAGUGGGUGUAAUGUACCUACUAGCCAACAACGGGUACGGGUUGUGAGAGCAAGAGCCCGGAGAUGGAUUCUGAGACAUGAAUCCAGGCCCUACGGGGCGCAGCAGGCGCGAAAACUUUACAAUGCGGGAAACCGUGAUAAGGGAACACCGAGUGCCAGCAUCAUAUGCUGGCUGUCCAGAUGUGUAAACUACAUCUGUUAGCAAGGGCCGGGCAAGACCGGUGCCAGCCGCCGCGGUAACACCGGCGGCCCGAGUGGUGACCGUUAUUAUUGGGUCUAAAGGGUCCGUAGCCGGUUUGGUCAGUCCUCCGGGAAAUCUGAUAGCUUAACUGUUAGGCUUUCGGGGGAUACUGCCAGGCUUGGAACCGGGAGAGGUAAGAGGUACUACAGGGGUAGGAAUGAAAUCUUG